GGCAUUUUACCCAACACCAAGGAUCCUUUAGAGUGUUUUUUUUCUAAAGUUUUUUAAAGUGGUGUAUUGUGUGGUUGAGAUUUAAUGUUGAAAAAUUGAUGUGACUUGUCAUUAAAUCUCAACCACAUAAUGCACCACUCUAAAAAACUUUAAGAAAAAAAAACUCUAGAGAUCCUUGCUCUUUAGCAAUCACAACUCAUGUUCGGCCCUCUAACGGACUAGCCAAAACAUUGGCUACUUUACCAUCAAUCUUCCCCGCUGGCUACCUAUGAAGAUCAUGAAUCACUCUCCAAAUCAACCGACACCCUUUUUCCCGCGAAAUCGUUAUCGUUCGCGGUUGAUGAGCGCGAUCCUGCGAACGUGUUGUAUGGCUUCGGCGAUUCGCCUCUAGCAGUGCUGGUGGAGAACAUGGAGCUACUGAUUUCGUAUUGUUUGGCAAAUCAUCUUCUUCCUCUACCUUUUCUUCAUCACUCGAUUUGCUCUCAUUUCUCUCUCUGCACAGCUCAAUCAACACAUAGUAUCGAUACGAACUUGACGACUUUGCAAAUGGACGAGUUUGGCGUUUUGGUUGAAAGUACUGGGUUCAAAGCACAGGGAAAAUCAACCCCAAUAGCCGAUCUGAAGACCAAAACCAACACUAACAAUGGCGGUUCUCAAAAUUUCGGAAUCAAUUCUAGUUUCGACCUCAAACCCACACCAGUAAAUCAAUCGAAAUCGGAAAUUUUGGUGGAAUGGAGUUGGGAUCCAAUGGGUUGAGGAAGAAUUUGUGAGGAAAUGGAGCAAAAUGAUAUAUACCAGGGUUUGGUGGAAGUAGCACUUCAAGUAAUGGGAACAUUUUCUGCUACUCCUUUUUAAGUCUCCAAUUGUACAUAGUGCUCAAUUUUUGUAGGGCACAUUGAUUUGUGCAAUGGUAAAAGUUUGGAAUGUCAAGUGAGAAUGUGUCUUCGAGUUUGAGGGCAGAUACUUUGUUGCAAAUGAAGACGGGGGAUGGAUUUGUAUCUUGCCUACCCCUCCAGCACCUUCAAAUGAAGUGGUCACCAUUGUUAGGAAAAAUAGAUCAAUUAAUAGAAAUAAAAACUAAUCUCAAAAAAUUAAAUUAAUAACGACAUAAGAACUUUUAUGUAGCUUCCUUAAUGUGAUGUAUAUUCACGGGAUCAAAAUUUGAUUCCACUAUCAAUUAAAAAGUUUUCAAACGAGAUACGAAUGGUAUCACAAAACAUUCUUAGGUGAAUUCCAAAUAAUCAUAAAUAAAUAAGAGGAAAGAUCUCACUAAAUAGAUGAAUAAAAAUUUUCGAAACAAAGUUGUAGACAGUGGCGGAGCCAUAACAGGGCUAGGGGGGUCACGUGCCCCCCCCUUAGUUUUUAUUUAUUUAUUUUUUUUGUGCAUUGUUCACACACAAUAUGUAAUUUAUGUAGUACUUUUGGAGCGCCAUGUGAUGCUAUUUAUGUGAUGGUCUAAAUCAAUAAUAUAGUGUCAAAUUUUAUAAAUGGAACAUAGUAACUCAUUAUUGUUAGGUAAUUGGAAGAUAAUAGGUGAAUCACUUAAUGUGAGUUGCGCUUUCUUAUAUUCAAAGCACGCUCAAGGAUCCUCUAUCCCCAAAUAACCCUGUCCCCUUGUCCUAAAUCACUCACAAUCAUUGGAUAUGUCUUGAGAUUUUCACAUCUUAGACUUCUCAUAUGAUCUAAUGAUUGUGAGUGAUUUGAGACAGGAGGACAUGGUUAUUUGGGAAUAGAGGAUCCUUGCUGCCAAAGCACCACGUUAUCAAUACGAUAUAAUAUUUUGGGAUUAUCUAAUAAUUUAUAUUCAAAACACAUUUUCAUAAUCAAUGUUAUCUCUCUAAUAUUUUUUUAUCAAAUAAAAAUUAUAGAAAUUUUAUAACGAUUUGAUUCUAUUUUCUAAAAUUAAGAAUUUUAAUUUGUAAUUUUUUUGUGCUAACAUUACAUUCUUACAUUACUAUUGUAUCCGAAUUAUUCCACAUUAUUAUAGAAUUUGAUUAGUUGCUAUUAAUAAUAAAUAAUUAAAUUUUUAUACUUAAAUUUAGCUCAUAAAAUUAUUAUUAUUAUUAUUUUAUUGUUGAUCAUAAAAAAAAUUAAAAAUUAUAAAAUGCCCCAUCUACUUUAAUUUCUUGACUCUGCCAAAAUAAUGACCCAAAUCAUCCCACACAGUGACUGCCGGUAAUGAAUUUACUUUUUCUUAAUCCUUUGUAGGAUGGUCGCUAAUUUGCUUUUGAACUAUGUUCAUUUGGCAAUACUUGCAGUUUCAUUCAUCUGAUAUCAAUAUGCAAAAAUGAUUUAAACGAUUGUCUAAUACACCAUUAAACAUCAUAUCUGUGUGUGUUGUUUUUUGAC